AAAAAAAAAAAAAAAAAAAAUCAUCUAUUAGCAAAAGCAACAGCAGAACACUCACAUGGUGACAAUGAAACAUGUUCCAAUCCCUUAUAUGCAGACCAGAAAUAUUCAGCACAAGACCAAGGUUAUAUGGCUAUCCAAUAACCAGAACAUAGUUUCAUUUGAGAAAUUGCCAAAAAAAGAGGCAGAGGCAAUGCAGCUCAAAUCAUGUGAAACGUCCAUAUUUGAACAAGCAUUUUGUCAGCAGGUAGAUAUUAGGUUGGAACAGAGCCUUUGUACCAAAAAUGAGCUAAAACAACAACAUAUCUUGUAUUCAAAAUUUUUGUCAGUAAUCAUUUUAUCAAACAAAAUCUACUUUUCAUUCAAGCAUUAUAUAUAAUGCAUGCUGUCCCAACUUCUAACUACUUUUUCAUUUUGUCCCAAUAUUUGAUUUAAUUAAAUGCAUUAAUUUCUCACUUUUUCAUCUGUAAUUAAACCUACAAAUGUUGAUGUCAGAAAAGAGCAGAAACAUGGCCAUAACCAGACAAUUUCACUAGUGAUAAGCAUCCAUAGUUUCUAAGUAAAUUGUUAAGGGACCACAAGAGACCAUCUGAAUAUAAAAAAUAAUCUACAUUUACUUGCAUAAAGAUGCAAGAACAUAAAACAAACUAAGAAGCUGAACAAGAGUAACACACCCGAGAAUUCAUAAUUUUCUGGCAUCAGGCGUAUUAUUGCAAGAAAGAAGGAAAAGAGAACCAUAACCACAACGUAUUUACCUCACAAAAGUUACGAAGGAGAUGAUGAAAGUACAAAGAACUGAACUAUGCCUUUGAAUGGCAGCAGUACAAAACUCCAUUGUAAAAGACUCAAAUAACUUUGUCAAUGAUACUCAAACUUUACAUCACAGACCAUAGUUGCAAUGCCUCUGUCAGUAGAAAUAUACAAGAAAUAGCACAACCUAGUCACCAUUCUUAGCUGCGUGGUUCUUGUUUUUUAUCAGCUGUUCAAACAAAUAAAUAGUUUCACAAAAUGCAACCAUGAAAGAGGGAAGGAAAAAAAAGCAUAGAGUCAAGCAUAAAUGAAAGUGGUAGUUCCCUUCCAGAAAAGGGGAAAAAGAAAGGACUUGCAUGGAACAUAAAUGAGCAAAAACUGAAGUAUUUCCUUUUAUAUAAUUACUCUUUUCAUUUUGCUGAGUUGCAAGAAGAACAAAAAUUAAAUGAGCACCAAACCUUGAAAAAGUACUUCUUACGAAGUUUGAUCUCUGUGCGUAUGCAUCUUUUGACAUGGAUCUUUGGCAGUUUAUCAUUGAAAAUCAGUACUUGACAGAAGAAAAAUUGAGGAUUAUUGAUAAUAUAAAGCUCUUCUUAUCCCAAAAAAGGGUCACAUACUGCUCACAGUAACUAGAUGAAGCAAGUGUAAAAGUAAUUGACAGUAAUGCACCAGCCUUUAUCAUAUCAUCUAUUGAGCGAGUCUCCCUGAUGAUUUUCUGACUGUUCAUGAUAAGAAUUGCCGCCACACAGAAACGGGUAAUUCAUCAUCUCCUUUUUUGGUUGAUGAGACUACAGUAAUAAUCUGCAUGCGGUCACUCCUUGACCAAAAAUUCCUUGUCAAACACUCAAACCACAGAAGUGAUAAGCUGAUGCUGACUUCAUUGCAGUGUCCUCAGACAUGGACUGCUCCAUAUUUCCAUGCUUAAUCUGUGAACCAUCAUUUGAACUACCAUUGCCAUUUUCUGUGAUUUCUUUUAUUUCCCCUCCAGAAUCCCUUGGAAGUUGUAGCACCACUGCCUCCAGGCAGUUCUCCUCUAAAUCACAGGUCAAUGAUUCAUCAAAAUCAGCAGCCCACAUCAUCUGUAUUAAGGAUGAUCUCAUAAAAGUCAGAUCUAUUAAAGCCAACUCUGAAAAUUCAGAAAGUUAUUAUCUUCCAUCAUUUCAUGGUGCUAAUCAUCUCCAAAGACAUUUAAAAGACCAUGAAUAUAAAUUCGCCGCAAGAAGAUGAAGGGGUCAACAAACACCUAUCAGUCAAGUUUAUAAUUGUCUUCCAACUAUGCUGAAACCAACUCAUGGUAAUAUAUCCAUGGUUAAAACACAUAAUCUCUUUGCAGAAAUGUCCGAUCCUGGAAAAAUUAGCAAUUUCAGGUUCAGUUCUCUUUCAAUGUCAUCUACAAAGGUCAAAAUAUUGGGCAAGUGUUCUAACAAUAAAAGUAUUUGGAUUAACCUCAAGCAUGUUAAUAUCAAAAUUGUGUCAAUCUAUUCUAACACAAGAAAAUCAAUCUCAUAUCAUGAAUCAACCUGCAAACUUGAAAACAACAUUUUAUGGCGUGAAUAUAUGUAUCAAGUUGGUACAACUAUUGCCAUAACCAUUUUAAUAAAAUACCAGUUACAUAUAACCCAUUAUGCAUAUUCAUUAUUCAAUUGUUAACUUUAAUUUACUUUUGUUACUGUAGAAACUAAAGAAGAAAAGAACAAAUAAAACCAAGCAUAUAAUUGUAAUUGCAUCAUUUUAAACGGGUCAUACCAUUUUGAAAGUUGACAAAUUAAGAACAAUAGUACAUUUCAUUCUUGUUAUUGAAAUAUGUUGACUCAAUACAGUUAUACCACAACUUUUGGCAGAAUAUAUCAGAUGCACAUGAACUACCACUUCUAUUUGUCUACCAAAAUUUACAAUAUAAUACGUAUUCUAAUACCAAAAUUUACAAUAUAAUAUGUAUUCUAAGACAUAAGGUCCUUUAAAUUAUCAUUUCUUCUAGUGUAACAGAGCGAGACAUUGA
rnacentral:misc_RNA from 1 species